rnacentral:rRNA from 1 species
UACAGAGGGUGCAAGCGUUUAAUCGGAAUUACUGGGCGUAAAGCGUGCGUAGACGGUUACAUAAGUCGGGUGUGAAAGCCCCGGGCUCAACCUGGGAAUUGCAUUCGAGACUGCGUAGCUAGGGUGCGGAAGAGGGAAGCGGAAUUUCCGGUGUAGCGGUGAAAUGCGUAGAUAUCGGAAGGAACACCAGUGGCGAAAGCGGCUUCCUGGUCCAGCACCGACGUUCAGGCACGAAAGCGUGGGGGAGCAAACAGG